CCCUCGUGGGCGUUUCGAAAAUGAAUCAAAACUUUCAACAACGGAUCUCUUGGUUCUGGCAUCGAUGAAGAACGCAGCGAAAUGCGAUAAGUAAUGUGAAUUGCAGAAUUCAGUGAAUCAUCGAAUCUUUGAACGCACAUUGCGCCCGCCAGUAUUCUGG
rnacentral:rRNA from 1 species